rnacentral:rRNA from 1 species
AACACGUGGGAACGUACCUUUAGGUUCGGAACAACACAGGGAAACUUGUGCUAAUGCCGAAUGUGCCCUUCGGGGGAAGGAUUUUAUCGCCUUUAGAGCGGCCCGCGUCUGAUUAGCUUGUUGGUGAGGUAAAAGGCUCACCAAGGCUACGAUCAGUAGCUGGUCUGAGAGGAUGAUCAGCCACACUGGGACUGAGACACGGCCCAGACUCCUACGGGAGGCAGCAGUGGGAAUCUUGCGCAAUGGGCGAAAGCCUGACGCAGCCAUGCCGCGUGAAUGAUGAAGGUCUUAGGAUUGUAAAUUCUUUCACCGGGGAAGAUAAUGACGGUACCCGGAGAAGAAGCCCCGGCUAACUUCGUG